CAAAAAAUGAGCAGGCGUCAAAGCUAACGGCUCGUUAGGAUCCGAGCUGAGCGUACACAAUGGUCGAGAAUUUAAUAAAGCCUCUAUUUGAGUAAUAACCGUCGUAAAUUCUUCAUAAGUCAAAAUUUGGGUGCCAAUAACUUUAGUUAAAUGAGACUUCACACUUUUAAUGUUUGCCUCCCAGAUUCCUCCAAAGUGAGGUGCUGCUGGAGGAUUAAAUUUCCAUACUACAUUUCGUUUAAUCAAUUCAUCAUCAAUACUAGAAUGAUACUCUUGUGAGGUCACAAAUUUUGACAAAUCGUCUAGGGCAGUUUUAGCUCCAAUAAAAUUUGUACCACAAUCGGAAUACAAAACCGAGCAUGGACCACGACGGGAUAAAAAACGUUUAAAGGCAUUAAUAAAAGUCGCAGUGGAUAGGUCAGAAGCCACUUCUAGAUGUAAGGCUUUGGUAACUAAACAAAUAAAUAAGCAUAAAUAAGCUUUCUGGCUUUUUACACCUCUACGACGAGUCAGAGUGAUAUAGAAUGGUCCGGCAUAAUCUACACCACUGUGCAAAAAUGGUUUCGCUUCUGUAAUUCUAGGAGCGGGCAAAUCCGCCAUACAUGGGAAAGUUGCGCGAGGACGAAAUUUAAAGCAAAAAUUACAGUUGCGAAUGCGAUGUCUAACAACAUUUCGUGCAGCUAAAAUCCAAAAUUUCUGACGCAACAACGACAGUGUAAGAUGCGGACCAGUAUGUAAAUUACGUUGGUGAAAAUAGUCUAUUAAGAGAUCCACCAAGUGGUCUUUUUUGGGCAGCAAAAACGGAUGCUGCUGAUCAUAUUCUAAAUUUGAGUUUGAUAGACGUCCUCCUACUCUAAUAACUCCAUCUUUAAGAAACGGACAUAAGGCACGAAUUUUAGGCGAACAAGGUUUAUUUUGCUCUAACAAAGCUAAAUCUGAAGCAAAAUGUUCUCUUUGGACAAGUCUAACUAGCGUUAAUUCAGCGGUUUCUAAGUCUUUGAGUGUAAUAGGAUUUCCUUUUGGCAAUAUCUUAAGAAAUCUGAGAACAUAUACAACUGCAUUGCGCAAUUUACUAUACGAAGACGAUCUAUCUAUAAGUUGUCGUAAAGGGUUGACACAACGUGAGAAAGUGACGAGAACUAUCGGUUUCUCUUCGAGUGGAGGUUCGUCUGUAUUAGUUGAAGAGUUAAUAGGCCAUAACUGUUCGUCCAUAAAUAACCAACUAGGACCAGUUAGCCAAAUCGGGUGGUUUAAAAGGUGCGCCGGUGUUAGACCCCUAGAAAUUGGGUCGGCUGGGUUUUCCUUCCCAUCGACAUGAUACCAAUUAACCGACGGCACUAAUUCUUGAAUUUUUGCCACGCGAUUUGCUACAAAAGUGUGCCAACGAUGAGGAGAUGCGUUUAUCCAGUUAAGUACGACCGAAGAAUCAGUCAGAGCAACAAUGUUUUCUAUAAUUAAUCGCGAUUGGAAAGUGCUUUCUACAAAAUGGAUCAGUCUAGCUAAAAGAAGCGCAGCACAAAGCUCUAAUCUGGGUAUCGAAAGUGACUUUAACGGAGCAACUUUUGAUCUAGCGCAAAUGAUUCUAACAGUAGGUACCUUUUCUGGAACUUUUACAUACACGACCGCUCCAUAACCCUUUUCUGAUGCGUCUGCAAAUCCAACAAUUGUCACAGGUAAAUUACUACAAGUUCCUAAAUGACGCGGAAUUUCAAAGUUUUCCAAAAGAUGCAACUCUCCUUUUAAAAGACUCCAAAUUUUUUGUAUAUCAGCCGAUACAGGAUCGUCCCAACCAAGUUUUUGAACCCAAAUUUCCCGAAUCAAUAAUUUUGCAUAUAAGGUAACGGGAGCCAACAAUCCUAAAGGAUCCCAAAUGCGAGCAAUUAUUGACAAAAUAUUCCGUUUCGUACAUUCUAUGUCAGGAACACUAAUUUUAAAACCAAGCAAGUCGGUUUGCGGAUGCCACUGAAAACCUAAGACCUUCAAGGAAUCAUUGCUAAAUUCAACGGGCUGAAAGCAGCGUUCCGAUUCUAAAAUUUCUGACAAUAAUUCAUUAGAGUUUGUUGUCCAUUUGGUUAAGCUAAACCCCCCGGCCCUAAACAAACCAAUUAAAUCGCGAUACAACGCAAUAGCUUCUUCACUGGUAGGAACACUAGUUACAACAUCGUCCAUAUUCGUCCGAGGCAAGUUGCUUAACUGUACGAAGAGCUAAAAAUGGCGAGGCUUUGACUCCAAAAGAGACUACAUUGAUUUCGUAUGUUUGGAGAGGUUCAUUAAUCGAAAAUCGCCAGAGAAUUCUUUGAAAGCAUCGAUGAUCGGGAUUAAGCCAAAUUUGUCUAUACAUCUGACGUACGUCAGCGGUCAUGGCUACAGCAAAUAGUCUAAAAUUCAGUAGCAAAGAAACUAUAUCGGUUUGUAAUUUUUCACCAGUAUAUAAAACAUCGUUCAAAGAAA